UACGUAGGGUGCAAGCGUUGUCCGGAAUUAUUGGGCGUAAAGAGCUCGUAGGCGGUUUGUCGCGUCUGCUGUGAAAACCCGAGGCUCAACCUCGGGCCGCAGUGGGUACGGGCAGACUAGAGUGCGGUAGGGGAGAUUGGAAUUCCUGGUGUAGCGGUGGAAUGCGCAGAUAUCAGGAGGAACACCAAUGGCGAAGGCAGAUCUCUGGGCCGUAACUGACGCUGAGGAGCGAAAGCAUGGGGGAGCGAACAGG
rnacentral:rRNA from 1 species